CGUGUAGGCGGCUCCUUAAGUCUGAUGUGAAAGCCCUGGGCUCAACCCGGGAAGUGCAUUGGAAACUGGGGAACUUGAAUACGGGAGAGGGUAGUGGAAUUCCUGGUGUAGGAGUGAAAUCCGUAGAUAUCAGGAGGAACACCGGUGGCGAAGGCGGCUACCUGGACCGAUAUUGACGCUGAGACGCGAAAGCGUGGGGAGCAAACA
rnacentral:rRNA from 1 species